UGAGGAAUAUUGGUCAAUGGUCGAAAGACUGAACCAGCCAUGCCGCGUGAAGGUGACGGCCCUAUGGGUCUUAAACUUCUUUUGUCUGGGAGCAAUAAGGUGUUCGUGAACACCGAUGAGAGUACCAGACGAAUAAGCAUCGGCUAACUCCGUGCCAGCAGCCGCGGUAAUACGGGGGAUGCGAGCGUUAUCCGGAUUUAUUGGGUUUAAAGGGUGCGUAGGCGGCCUGUUAAGUCAGCGGUGAAAUGUCCUCGCUCAACGAGGAAAGUGCCGUUGAUACUGGUGGGCUUGAAUGCGGAUGCCGUUGGAGGAAUGUGUGGUGUAGCGGUGGAAUGCGUAGAUAUUAGGAGGAACACCAGUGGCGAAGGCGAUUUACUGGACGAUAACUGACGCUGAGGCACGAAAGCGUGGGGAGCAAACAGGAUUAGAUACCCUGGUAGU
rnacentral:rRNA from 1 species